rnacentral:rRNA from 1 species
UACGUAGGGGGCGAGCGUUGUCCGGAUUUAUUGGGCGUAAAGAGCGUGUAGGCGGCCAGGUAGGUCUGCUGUGAAAACUCGAGGCUCAACCUCGAGACGUCGGCGGAAACCAUCUGGCUAGAGUCCGGAAGAGGAGAGUGGAAUUCCUGGUGUAGCGGUGAAAUGCGCAGAUAUCAGGAGGAACACCGAUGGCGAAGGCAGCUCGCUGGGACGGUACUGACGCGUGAGGCGACGAAAGGACGUGGGGAGCGAACAGG